UACGUAGGGGGCGAGCGUUGUCCGGAUUUAUUGGGCGUAAAGAGCGUGUAGGCGGCCAGGUAGGUCUGCUGUGAAAACUCGAGGCUCAACCUCGAGACGUCGGCGGAAACCAUCUGGCUAGAGUCCGGAAGAGGAGAGUGGAAUUCCACGUGUAGCGGUGAAAUGCGUAGAGAUGUGGAGGAACACCAGUGGCGAAGGCGACUUUCUGGCCUAUAACUGACGCUGAGGCGCGAAAGCGUGGGGAGCAAACAGG
rnacentral:rRNA from 1 species